ACACUCUGAUGGUGCAAGGUA
rnacentral:snRNA from 1 species